AAGGGGAGAGCGUAACAUGCAGUCGAGCGGAGCGAGUUAUCUGAACCUUCGGGGAACGAUAACGGCGUCGAGCGGCGGACGGGUGAGUAAUGCCUAGGAAAUUGCCCUGAUGUGGGGGAUAACCAUUGGAAACGAUGGCUAAUACCGCAUAACGCCUUCGGGCCAAAGAGGGGGACCUUCGGGCCUCUCGCGUCAGGAUAUGCCUAGGUGGGAUUAGCUAGUUGGUGAGGUAAAGGCUCACCAAGGCAACGAUCCCUAGCUGGUCUGAGAGGAUGAUCACCCACACUGGAACUGAGACACGGUCCAGACUCCUACGGGAGGCAGCAGUGGGGAAUAUUGCACAAUGGGCGCAAGCCUGAUGCAGCCAUGCCGCGUGUGUGAAGAAGGCCUUCGGGUUGUAAAGCACUUUCAGUCGUGAGGAAGGCGGUACAGUUAAUAGCUGUAUUGUUUGACGUUAGCGACAGAAGAAGCACCGGCUAACUCCGUGCCAGCAGCCGCGGUAAUACGGAGGGUGCGAGCGUUAAUCGGAAUUACUGGGCGUAAAGCGCAUGCAGGUGGUUUGUUAAGUCAGAUGUGAAAGCCCGGGGCUCAACCUCGGAAUAGCAUUUGAAACUGGCAGACUAGAGUACUGUAGAGGGGGGUAGAAUUUCAGGUGUAGCGGUGAAAUGCGUAGAGAUCUGAAGGAAUACCGGUGGCGAAGGCGGCCCCCUGGACAGAUACUGACACUCAGAUGCGAAAGCGUGGGGAGCAAACAGGAUUAGAUACCCUGGUAGUCCACGCCGUAAACGAUGUCUACUUGGAGGUUGUGGCCUUGAGCCGUGUCUUUCGGAGCUAACGCGUUAAGUAGACCGCCUGGGAGUACCGGUCGCAAGAUUAAAACUCAAUGAAUUUGACGGGGCCCGCACAAGCUGUGCAGCAUGUGUUUAAUUCGAUGCAACGCGAAUAACCUUACUACUCUUGACAUCCAGAGAAGUCAGCGAGACGCAGUGUGCCUUCGGAGCUCUGAACAGUGCUGCAUGCUGUCGUCAGCUCGGUUGGGAAUGUCGGUAAGUCCCGCAACGAUCGCUCUUAUCUUGUUGGCACGAUAUGUCGGAACUCAGGAACUGCCGUGAUAACCUGAAGAAAGGUG
rnacentral:rRNA from 1 species